rnacentral:rRNA from 1 species
UACAGAGGGUGCGAGCGUUAAUCGGAAUUACUGGGCGUAAAGCGUGCGUAGACGGCUAUCUAAGUCGGGUGUGAAAGCCCCGGGCUCAACCUGGGAAUUGCAUUCGAGACUGAAUAGCUAGGGUACGGUAGAGGGAAGUGGAAUUUCCGGUGUAGCGGUGAAAUGCGUAGAUAUCGGAAGGAACAUCAGUGGCGAAAGCGACUUCCUGGACCAGUACCGACAUUCAGGCACGAAAGCGUGGGGAGCAAACAGG